rnacentral:tRNA from 1 species
GGGGCGGUGGCUCAGUGAUAGAGUGCUUGCCUUGCAUGCAGGAGGCCCUGGGUUCGAUUCCUCAGCACCA